GACGUAGGGCGCGAGCGUUGUCCGGAUUUAUUGGGCGUAAAGAGCUCGUAGGCGGCUUGUCGCGUCGUCCGUGAAAACCCACAGCUCAACUGUGGGCUUGCGGUCGAUACGGGCAGGCUAGAGUUCGGUAGGGGAGUCUGGAAUUCCUGGUGUAGCGGUGAAAUGCGCAGAUAUCAGGAGGAACACCGGUGGCGAAGGCGGGACUCUGGGCCGAUACUGACGCUGAGGAGCGAAAGCGUGGGGAGCGAACAGG
rnacentral:rRNA from 1 species